rnacentral:lncRNA from 1 species
GGCAAAGUGGGUCCCAGCUCCCCCAGAGGCACUGGACAGAGAGGAGCCAGGGGUAAUGCUGAUUCGUUCUCACUGGUCGUGCCCGUGGACAACACCAUACAACAGAUCAAGAUACAGAACGUUCACCUCCUUCUCCAGCUCCAUGCCUGCCUGGACGCUGCCAUGUUCCUACCAUGAUGAAAAUGGACUAAACCUGUGAACCUGUAAGCCAGCCCUAAUUAAAUGUUGUCCUUUACAAGAGUUGCUUUGGUCA